rnacentral:ncRNA from 1 species
ACGGGAGCUCGCAGCAGCGGGCUGAGAGGGUGGCUGGCGCGCCACCGACCGCAGGAACCUGUCCGGGUAAUGCCGGCGUAGGGA